rnacentral:rRNA from 1 species
AUUGAACGCUGGCGGCAGGCUUAACACAUGCAAGUCGAACGAGUGGCGGACGGAUGAGUAAUGCUUGGGCAUCUAGCUUAUGGAGGGGGAUAACUACGGGCAACUGUAGCUAAUACCGCGUACCAUAGGAUGAGCCCAAGUGGGAUUAGGUAGUUGGUGAGGUAAAGGCUCACCAAGCCGACGAUCUCUAGCUGGUCUGAGAGGAGGACCAGCCACACUGGGACUGGAACACGGCACAGAAUCCUACGGGAGGCAGCAGUGGGGAAUAUGGCGCAAUGGGGGCAACCCUGACAAAGCCAUGCCGCGUGAAUGAAGAAGGCCUUAGGGUUGUAAAGUACUUUCAGCGGGGAGGCGUUACCCGCAGAAGAAGCACCGGCUAACUCCGUGCCAGCAGCCGCGGUAAUUC